AGCAGCCGCGGUAAUUCCAGCUCCAAUAGCGUAUAUUAAAGUUGUUGCAGUUAAAAGACUCGUAGUUGAAUUUCGGGGUCAGUAGGUUGGUCGUGCCACUGGUAUGCACUGGCUUUACUGAUUCCUCCUUCUUGAAGAACUGUAAUGCUAUUAAUUUAGUGUUGCAGGAAAACAGGACUGUUACUUUGAAAAAUUAGAGUGUUUAAAGCAGGCUAACGCCUGAAUACAUUAGCAUAGAAUAAUGAAAUAGGACGUUUGAUCCUAUUUUGUUGGUUUCUAGGAUUGACGUAAUGAUUAAUAGGGAUAGUUGGGGGCAUUAGUAUUCAAUUGUCAGAGGUGAAAUUCUUGGAUUUAUUGAA
rnacentral:rRNA from 1 species